rnacentral:rRNA from 1 species
UACAGAGGUCUCAAGCGUUGUUCGGAUUCAUUGGGCGUAAAGGGUGCGUAGGCGGCGCGGUAAGUCGGGUGUGAAAUCUCGGAGCUUAACUCCGAAACUGCAUUCGAUACUGCCGUGCUUGAGGACUGGAGAGGAGACUGGAAUUUACGGUGUAGCGGUGAAAUGCGUAGAUAUCGGGAGGAACACCAGUGGCGAAGGCGGCUUCCUGGCCUGUUCUUGACGCUGAGGCGCGAAAGCUAGGGGAGCAAACGGG